UCCUCAGUAUCUUUUGACCAUGGAGUUA
rnacentral:sRNA from 1 species